GACGAACGCUGGCGGCGUGCUUAACACAUGCAAGUCGAACGAAAAUACCAAGCUUGCUUGGUUGAUUAGUGGCGAACGGGUGAGUAACACGUGAGUAACCUGCCCCUUACUUUCCUGGAUAACUGCUCGAAAGGGUAGCUAAUACGGGAUAUUCUGACCAGCCUGCAUGGGUUGGUUUGGAAAGGUUGUUUUUCUGGUAAGGGAUGGGCUCGCGGCCUAUCAGCUUGUUGGUGGGGUGAUGGCCUACCAAGGCUUUGACGGGUAGCCGGCCUGAGGGGGUGAACGGCAACAUGGGAACGAGGUAAGGGCCAGACUCCUAAGGGAGGGAGCAAGGGGGAAAAAUUGAAAAUGGGGGGAAGGCCGAAGGAGCGAAGGCGGGGGAGGGAUGAAGGCCUUCGGGUUGUAAACCUCUUUCGUCAGGGAACAAGGCACUGCUUUUUUGGUGGUGUUGAGGGUACCUGGAUAAGAAGCGCCGGCUAACUACGUG
rnacentral:rRNA from 1 species